rfam:Canis lupus familiaris chromosome 22, whole genome shotgun sequence.
GGGGGGAGGCCGGAUCCUGGGGUGUGUCCCGGCGCCCUGUGCUCCGGGAACUGCGCUGUUGGAUUCGCGCUCCCGCCCCGCAGCCCCCU